CUCCAUUGAACCUAGGGUUGAUUCCCUGGCUUGCUGGUAAUGGUUGAGUGGGGAUCUACCGGGCCAUGAGGUUGAGAUUGUGCUGGAGUACAAUUCUCCUGCUGCUGAUGGCCCCCAGUGCUUCACGGAUGCCCAAUCUUGGGAGGGUUGCUUGAUCUAUUCAAACUUUGUCCCAUUUAGUAUGGUUGCAGUGCCGCACAACAUAAUAGAGAGUAUUCUUAUUGUGCAGAUGUGACUUGGUCUCCACAAAGAUUGUGCAGCCAUCAUUCUGACUGAUACUGUCAUGGAAAGAUGCAUCUGCAGCUGGCAGAUUGGUAAAGAAUAUGUCAAGUACGUUUCUCUCUGUUGGUUCCUUCACCAUCUGCCACAGACUCAGUCUAGCAGCUGUGUCUUUUAGGAUCCAACCAGCUUGAUCAGUAGUGUUGCUACCAAGCCAUUGUUGGCAGUGGACAUUGAAAUCUGCCACCCAGAGUACAUUUUGUGCCCUUUCAAUAGUCAGUGCUUCCUCCAAGUGUUGUCCAACAUGCAAGAUUACUGAUCAGCCGAAGGAGGGCAGUAUGUGGUAAUCGCGAGGUUUCCUUGCCCAUGUUUAACUUGAAGCCAUGUUGAGGACCCCCAGGGCGACUCCCUCCUGACUGUAUACCACUGUGCUGUCGCCUCUGUUGGGUCUGUCCUGCUGGUGGGAAAGGACGUAUACAGGGAUAGUGAUGAUGGUGACUGGGACAUUGUCUGUUAAAUAUGAUUCUUGUGAGUAUGGUUGCAUCAGGCUCUUGCUUGACUAGUUUGUGAGACAGCUGUCCCAAUUUUGGCAAUAGCCCCCAAAUGUUAUUAAGGAAGGCUUUGCAGGUUCUUUUUGAAGCAUAAACUGGAGCAUAAUCACAAACACUAUCCUGUUCGUACAAGUAGCUUUUAACUGUGUUGCCAAUACUUUGUAAUCUCACAGAAUAAUUUAUAGUUAUUUGAUAUACCACACUGUGAGUAGCUCAAUUUUGCAGCCUUUUAGCCUGGAUAACAAAGCUACCAUCUACCUAGUCCAAAUGUGAGCUUGUCCAUAUCAAAUUGAAGGAAAUAUUACAAACUGAAUAGCAAUAGGCAACAUCUAAUCAAAGAAACAAAUGCAGCACAUCAAAUGUAUUCUGGUACAAUAGGAGGAACGGUGUCAAAGAUUGGGUUCCAAACAACACGUUAGAAAGAGAAAUUAGAUCAGUUUUGGUGUUUAAUCAAAUGGUAUUGUUAAAUGAACCUAGAAAAAUGACAGAACGUGCAUUUACACACAACUUUUUAUGCAAGUAUAAAUCUGCUUCCAUAGCUAUUAAUAACUAACUUAUUUACCACACUUAGCACAUCCUCUGUAGAAACUGCUGUUCCCUUCACACAACAUUUUUCUUUCAUUAAUCCUGUAAACUGACUGACUGUUUCAUUAAGUAAGUGUCUGGGAAUACUGUCUUUUCAGUCUGAUUAAAUACAGCAGCAAUUACUUCAUCUGUUGGGGGAGAGCAAACAUGAAGAGAAUUGAAAUAUUGUAACUGAUUUUCUCUGACAGACUGUAUGUGACUUGUGUAGAUAGACCUGCGAACAUUUUGCUUGGCCUUAAAAUGGUGGAUAGGUAGCAAAGAGGAAAUGGGGCAGAAAAAUUGGAAAUAUGGUUUUGUCCCAUUUUUAAAUAUCUCCUUUUGUGUAUUCUGUGAAAGUGCUCCUUAAAUUCCUAAACAGUGAACUUAAAAAUGUUUUCACAACCUUUUUGUUUUUGCAUUUUAGGGCUUUUGAUGUGGAACUCCUCUACAUUGCCCAGUGUUUAAAGAUUCCAGUUGCCGAAGUUGCUGUGCAAUGGACAGAAAUAGAGGGAUCAAAGUUAGUUCCAUUCUGGAGUUGGUUACAAAUGGGUAAAGAUCUUCUCUUCAUUCGCUUACGUUACCUCACGGGUGCCUGGAAUGUGGAAAUGUCCAAAAAAGUCAACUAAAUUAUUGCACUGUAUCUUUUCGUGAAGAUGAAAGGACAUAUAUCAUUACUGAAAUAUAAUCAAGGGUGGACACACAAUGUUUUAUGAUGGAUGGUAAAAUAUUUUGUUCUUUCUGCAUACAUAUUGCAGUAUUUUCUUUGUUUUUCUACAUUGCAUCCUGGUGAAUAAAGUGAAAACUUUCUAUCUAGGUUGUAUUUUUGGUUAAAUCGAAGAUAAAAUGUCGUGAAUGACCAGAUUGAGACAGCCAAAGGAUUAUGUUUGAGUAAUGGUUUACUGGUUUUGUCUACAACAUUAUUACAAGGAAGUAUUUUGGUUUACCUCAGACUGUAAAUGAGACUACAUUAGCAAAAUGUACAUUUAUGAUGUGUAUUUAAUGGAUAUCCUUAAAAAUACUUUCUUUGGUGUUUUAUGGUAGUCAGAUGGCAGGAAAUUGCCAUACCAGGUUAUUGAUGAGACAUGGGGUAAAUGAUUAACUCAUUAUGUUUGUUCGUAUUUCUUUCAAUUGUUUUGUAUAUGGAUGCUUCAGUUUUAUCAUUAAUUCUGGAGCAGUUUUGAUUCCUAAGCGCAAUUUUCAAUGGCUAAGAUGGAAAGCCAGUAUAAUGAGACUUAUAUUAAUGGAGGGUUACCGCAAUGGUUGAUUCAUAGUUAGUUUUAAUUUGAAAAACCAAAACUUAUCUGAAGUCCUUAAACUUGAAUUAAUAUUUUAUUCAUGUACUUUAAUUAAAAGUUACAUUUGUAAAA